UAGAGUACCGUGCACUGUAUCGUUUGUGUUUUGCUGACUUAUGCUGGAUUCUCUUGGGCCCUCAAAGUUCAGUGGGAAAGUCCUGAGGCUAUCCCAGUAAGCGCAAUGCUAAAAGCCAUCCUUCAUAUGGUAAGCACAUAACACUGAGCACUGACACCUGAAUUAAAGUCCAAUGUCUCACACCUAGAAAGAGACACCUGAAACAAGGUGAUGAGAAAGGGAAAAGAAAGCAGAUGUGUGGCUAGACACUAAGGGCUAGAUAUUAACUAAGUGAAAAAAGAAAUGUCAGAUUAGAGAGGUGUCUGCACCUUUAAUCCAUCCCAUAGUGUAAACAAAGCAGAGGAAAGUGUGAUUUUACACACUGUGGGCUGUUUAAUGCUGCAGCAUAAGGUGAGUUGACAGAGUGACAGACUCUGGGUUAAUUCUCUAAGCCAGAUGUGCCCCAAGUGCAGCAUGAAGUUUGGCUCAUACAACAUUCCUUUCCUCUGUAUGUAAUUGCAGGCUGUGAACAAGAUUUGUCAGCAGCAGGCUUUUAUUUCUGGAGAACUCAAAAAAACCAAACCCCUAUACAUUUUUCCAGACAGACGAGUAUUGCAAUCAGACAUUUUGUUUUUACAUUGUCCAUAAUGUGAACGAACUAAGCAUUAAGCAACCCCGCACCUCCCCAGAGCUUUGCAAGGAGUUGCAGGAAGACUGACUUUAGCCCUUCAGUUAACAAGGCAGACCUGAACACUGCAGUCUACAUGCUUAAGUUUAGAGGAAGCACCUCUAGUGAAGCUCGAGUUACUUUAAGUCCCCCAGGGGGCUCUCUCUAUGUACCAGCACUAACCGGGAAUAAGAAAAGGAGUACUUGUGGCACCUUAGAGACAAACGAAUUUAUUUGAGCAUAAGCUUUUGUGAGUUACAGCUAUUUAUUUUAAAGCUAUUUUAGCAUGACGGUCACGAGUAUGGUAAGAUUGAAUGAGCUUUACAGUUACCACGCUACUGAAAUGCUGGAAUAAAUCAGAACAUAAACAGUUUUAUGUUCCCCGAAAUCAGGCGGUUAGCAAGACUACCACUGUCUUUUGAAGUCAGCUGUUAAGCCCCCAACUGAUUAUGGCCAAAGCAAAAACAUGGAGACAUAUUAGAUGUGUCCUAAUUACAAUAAGUGAAUGCAAUAAUAGCCUGGCAGGAUACGAUGCCCUCUUUCUCACGUCUUCAAAAAGCAGUGAAAAGCUUUGUUACUGUUCUGAGCCCAGAGGAAAAACGGAAGUCCAGCAUGGCCAGGGCAAGAGGGCCGAGUGAAGAUGUAGACGAAUGUAAAGCCGGAGCAGGCCAAGUGCUGCUGAAAAUAUGGACGCCAUCUGUACUCCAAUUCUACCAAACAUCGCUCAGAUGCCUGGAGACAUUAAGCAGAGUAAUGAAAAUGAUAUAUUGGUUUUGUAUAUCGGUAUAUUGGUGAGUCUAAAAAAAUAAAACGUAAAGAUUCUCCUUGCUAGAAAAUAUAAAAUAAGUACUCUUUGAUCAUCAAAAUAGUUGAACACAGUAAAUGUGGCAGAACCAGGCAUAUAUACAGGCGUAACAGAUGAAGGGGUCUGCUUCAAAGAAGAACAGAAACAAGCGUGGAGGAAGUCACAUUGCCUUCAAUCACUAUGUGAGUCCUGCACGAGUGUGGAAAGAGACCUGCUGAUUGAAUUUUGCCUAGAGGAUGGAAUGUUUCCCCGCAGACCGAUUUAUGACCAAUCUUUGAAGAGAAAUGGCUUUUGUAGCAAAGCUUUGGCUACCUUUUUUAUGUGGUGAUUGAGCUUACUUGUUCCCUGAUCUACAUGGCUCUUAUUAAUCACAGGCAUUCUGUGCUGGGCCAAUUUCAUCAUGAUGUCCGUUCUUCUUUUGAAAGUCCUCUCUGCAAUCAUGCCAUAAUCAUGUUUGGUGGGUGAAUUUAUUGUUGGCUGAGGGUGGGAGAGUGUGAAGCAUAAAAUACUCCCACCCUGUUCUCUGACUGCUUGAAUCUCAGUCCCCUGGCUCAGAGCUGAGGCAGUUAAAUGAAGUAAGAGAGUAAACAAGGAAAGGGGCAACAGCAUCAUCUUAACCCUUUACCUACAAUUCCAUAAACUCUAGCUCGGAGAGCAACUGUAUUCAACCCACCCACUCCACUGUAGCAGUAGGGGCAGAUCAGGAAAAGAGAAACAACUUCAUAGUCAUUCUCCACCUGAAAUUUUUUAUUUCUACUUCAUAGCUGAAACUGUAAAACCCCAAACCCAUCCCCUUUCUUCAUCAUCAUCAUGCUGGAGAAGAUAAAGGCUAAAACAUUGAAUGUCAAGAAGAUGCUGGAGGUUUCCAAUACUACAUUCAUGUUGCCUGAAGCCUACCAAGGAACUAACUGAAGGGUUCCAUUUGGCCUCAUGACCACAAUAUGCCAAUUAUGAAGAGUUCUGAACAUCACUGUAUUUGUGCUAUAUGGAAAAUACCCAUACCAUAUUUUAAACGGACCUGAAGCAGGGUGCUUAACCCAUUGUUUCCUCCAACCAUGCAAACUGUGCAUAAGGACUGCAGCUAUAGACAGGAGUGAGUAUACCAUUAACGUUAUUAUUUUGUUAGUGAAACGUAAAGAGCUCCCAGUGAAGAAACUACAGCAUUUAUCUCAAGGAAACAUGUUGUUUGCAGUGUUGUAGCUGUGUUGGUCCCAGGAUAAUAAAGAGACAAGGUGGGUGAGGUAAUAUCGUUUAUUGGACUAAUUGUGAUGGACUGGUAAAUGUAACAUAUCAGCAGGUCAUGACGGGUGUAGUUUUUAAAUUGUUUCAUGCCUAUUGUAUAAGCUCUCUUCAGAAAAUUCUCUGCUUAAAUUCGAUGGGCACAUCCUCUCUCAUUUUUUCCAUCUCCACAGUGCUAACCAAUAUCAGUGAAUGUGGCUCUAACAUCUGCUAAAUAUAAAAAUAAAUAAAUAAGGACGUGCUUUAAAUCAGAACCAUGCUCUGGUUGUCUCAGUGCCUUUUCUGUCUGAAUUGCCUUGUCAGUCUCUUUAGGUUGUAAACUCCAUAGUGCAGGAACAGCAUCUUCCUUUGUGUCAUACAGUAUCAAGCACACUAUCAGCACUGCACAAUUAUCAAGUAAUUGCCCCUCGUCAUACAGGCAGAAUUUCUGAUGUGCUGAGGGGUGCUCCCCACAGGCUUUGCACCAGGCCCUGCCCCCGCUCCAGCUCUUCCCAUUCUUACUCUGCUCCCACCCUGCCUUUUUCCGCCCCAUCCCCCAAGAGCACCCAGUCCUCGCUCCUUCCGCCUUCUCCCCAGCACCUCCUGCAUGCCACAGAACAGCUAAUCCGCGGCAGGCAGGAGGUGCUGGGGGGUGAGGGAGAGGGAGGCGCUGAUUGGCAGGGCCGCCUAUGGGUGGGAGAUGCUGGGAGGAAGGGGAGGCACUGGUAGGGGGGCUGCCGGUGGAUGCUAAGCACCCAUCAUUUUUUUCCACAGGUGCUCCAGCCCUGGAGCACCCACGGAGUCGGCCCUUAUGCCCCUCGUAACUGCAUGUUUCCAUUUAGAGAAACAAGGUGGAUGAAGUAACAUAUUUUAUUGGACCAACUUCUGUUGGUGAGAGAGACAAGCUUUUGAGCCUACAGAAAGGUCUUCAGGUCCCAGAAAAUGCAGCAUGAAACCAUUUAAAAUCAUUUGCACACAUCAUGACCUGCUGAUGGUUUACAUUUGCCAGUCCACCAGAAGACUGUAUAUUUGUAAUGAAAUAGGUCCAUCAUAAAUGUAAUGAACAGAACAUGGGGCUCCCCUUUCCUUUACUGUAUCUUUUCUACUGUAAUGAAAAAUGACCUGUACUGAAUUAUAGAUUUUUUUUAACACAUUCUUAUUCACACUGUAAUGGGUUUCUUCCCUUGUGGGAUUGUUGUGUUAGAGCUCUGCAAAUCAUGUCAUUUUUGGUUUGCUGGCAAUUCUGAAAACUAGAAAAAAAAUGGUUUUACAUUGAACUGAAAAUGAAAUUUUUCAUAUGUUAGGCAAAUCAAAAACAUUAUUUUCCAGGCAAAUGAAACAGUUCAAUUAGACAAAACCAAUAUAUUUUCUUUUUAUUUCAAACAUUUAAAAACAUUCAAAAAUAUUUUAACAAAAAUUAAAGGAAAUUUUGAAAUGAAAGUCAUUUUGAACCAAAAUAUCAAAACAUUUCAUUUUGAAAAUGUCAAAACAAAUCAUUUAGAUUUUGGGGGGGGGUUAUUUUUGACCAACACAAUUUGGUGAAACUGACACAAACCUGCAUUUUUUACCAAAAAAGUUUUGGGGGAAACAUUUUGCUCAGCUCUAGUUGUGAUAUGUAAUAAGCAGUCUGAGAAGGUGUGAAACGUAACACAAAAGGACCUAAUUUAUUUAGGUGAUCAGUCUGUGAGCUUUUGCUUGUACAGCAGUUUCCCCUCCCCCCCUCGAUUUAUCAGUAUUAAAUUAAAGUAAGCCUGUAGGGGUCUAUUUCUACUUAAUUGUGAUCUGACUAUUUCAACAAGAUAAAUGUCCAUUUAUGAAGCUAUCAGGCAGAAUACAGCAUUAUUUUGUGUAGAUUUUAAUUUUUGUCUAUAAAUCACAUUUUCUAACACCACUUGUGAGAAGUACUUGUAGUUAUUUGAAUAAAAUCAAGCCUUUCUCCAGUUCUAAACUGAUAAACACUUGUUUAUAAUCUUAAAUCUCUGACUUUGCUUCCGCUAUCAAAAGCCUUAUGCAAGAAACAGUAGAGACUGUCAUAUCUAAUCACAUACUCACAAAAUAUUUGUCUACAUCAAGCCAUCUGUUCUGGCAGGCUUUUUCCCCCUGCGUCCCAAAACAGAGCAAGACAAGGUUACAAUUAUCUUCAUUCAUAAUAUUAUCCUACCUCUUUCCUGUGAUCUGACACUCACUUGUUGUGACCUGACUUCCAGAAGAUUGCCUUCUGGAAAACCUGAUGCACAAUUGCUGUAUCUAGUUGUCAAGUUAUUACCAUGCACUGUCAUUUCAUUACCUGAUACUCACACUAGACAAUCUGUUGCAGAUGAUU